rfam:Salmo salar isolate Sally breed double haploid chromosome ssa03, whole genome shotgun sequence.
AUUGCACCAAUUUGUAAGUCGCUUUGGAUAAGAGCGUCUGCUAAAUGACGUAAA